GACGAACGCUGGCGGCGUGCUUAACACAUGCAAGUCGAACGGGAUCCCAAGGCUUUUUGUUUUUGGUGAGAGUGGCGAACGGGUGAGUAACACGUGAGUAACCUGCCCCCUUCUUUUGGAUAACCGCAUGAAAGUGUGGCUAAUACAGGAUAUUCCAGGCUGGUCGCAUGAUUGGUUUGGGAAAUGGUUUGGUCUGGUGGGGGAUGGGCUCGCGGCCUAUCAGCUUGUUGGUGGGGUGAUGGCCUACCAAGGCGGUGACGGGUAGCCGGCCUGAGAGGGUGGGCGGUCACACUGGGACUGAGAUACGGCCCAGACUCCUACGGGAGGCAGCAGUGGGGGAUUUUGCACAAUGGGCGCAAGCCUGAUGCAGCGACGCCGCGUGAGGGAUGAAGGCCUUCGGGUUGUAAACCUCUUUCGCUGGGUUGAAAGGCCAUGCUUUGGGUGUGGUUGAUUUGAACUGGUAAAGAAGUACCGGCUAACUACGUG
rnacentral:rRNA from 1 species